UGGGGAAUUGUUCACAAUGGGCGCAAGCCCGAUGACGCAACGCCGCGUGGGGGAUGAAGGUCUUCGGAUCGUAAACCCCUGUCGGGAGGAAAGAAAAGUCGGCCGGAUAAUACUCGGUCGACCUGACGGUACCUCCAAAGGAAGCACCGGCUAACUCCGUGCCAGCAGCCGCGGUAAUACGGAGGGUGCAAGCGUUGUUCGGAAUUACUGGGCGUAAAGCGCGUGUAGGUGGUCGAGUAAGUCGAAUGUGAAAGCCCCGGGCUCAACCCGGGAAGUGCAUCCGAAACUGCUCGACUAGAGUCCCGGAGAGGAAGGCAGAAUUCCCAAUGUAGGGGUGAAAUCCGUAGAUAUUGGGAGGAAUACCGGUGGCGAAGGCGGCCUUCUGGACGGUGACUGACACUCAGACGCGAAAGCGUGGGGAGCAAACAGGAUUAGAUACCCCCGUAGUCCCUGAGCGGGCUGGCAAGGCGCAU
rnacentral:rRNA from 1 species